CGGCAAAAUUUUUUGCUGUGAAGUGUUAACGCGACAGGGUUGAAAAGACAUCGAAUACCACCUUCAAGUUUUGGUGAAUAAUGGGUUCGGCACGUUAUGAUCGCGCAAUUACUGUGUUUUCCCCUGAUGGUCAUCUUUUUCAAGUCGAAUAUGCACAGGAGGCUGUAAAAAAAGGAUCUACUGCUGUCGGUGUGCGUGGGAAGGAUUUGGUAAUCUUGGGAGUAGAGAAGAAGUCUGUUGCUAAGCUGCAAGAAGAGAGGACUGUUCGUAAAAUCUGCCUUCUAGACGAUCAUGUGGUGAUGGCAUUUGCUGGACUGACAGCUGAUGCCCGUAUUUUAAUAAACAGAGCUAGAAUAGAGUGUCAGUCUCACAAGCUGACAGUAGAGGAUCCUGUAACAUUGGAGUACAUUACAAGAUACAUUGCAGGUUUGAAGCAGAGAUAUACACAGAGCAAUGGGCGACGUCCGUUUGGCAUUUCUUGUUUACUUGCUGGGUUCGAUUUUGAUGGUACCCCUCAUUUAUAUCAGACAGACCCUUCUGGAACAUAUCACGAAUGGAAGGCUAAUGCAACAGGGCGGAACGCCAAAACAGUGCGCGAGUUUCUAGAAAAGAACUAUAACCUCGAAGAGAUGGAAGAUGAAGAAAAGGUUAUAAAGCUCGCCAUUCGUGCACUGCUGGAAGUGGUACAGUCAGGAAGUAAGAAUCUAGAGUUGGCGAUAAUGAGACGUGGCCAGCCAAUGAAGAUGUUAGAAGUAGACGAAAUUGAGAAGCAUGUUGCUGCUGUGGAAAAAGAGAAGGAAGAAGAAGCAGAAAAGAAGAAACAAAAGAAGUAACUCUUGAAAUGCUAUGAAUUUGUGAUGCUGCAUCGCAAACCGAUACAAAUAAACCAUGGGCUAACGAAAAAAAAAAA